UGGGGGUAUUGGAUGAGUCAAUGGAAUGCAUCGGUGAAGUUUUUGGGCAAGGAGGCCAACAGCUAUUUGCGUCAGCAAGGGCACUGGAUGAUUCGAUACCCACCCAAAGUGACCAUUGGAUCAUCCGAUGCUCACUGAUUUUACUAGCCGUUGGAGCAACAGCUCUUUGAGGUCCUUGGAAUAUUUAUACCCCCUCUAGUCACCCAUUUGGAUUGUAUGGAGUGUCCAGGAGUGCAUUCAAGACUGAGACUCAUCGAG
rnacentral:lncRNA from 1 species